UGGUUCUGGCAUCGAUGAAGAACGCAGCGAAAUGCGAUAAGUAAUGUGAAUUGCAGAAUUCAGUGAAUCAUCGAAUCUUUGAACGCACAUUGCGCCCUUUGGUAUUCCGAAGGGCAUGCCUGUUCGAGCGUCAUUGCAAACCCUCAAGCACCGCUUGGUCUUGGGCGCCGGUCCCUGCGGACCCGCCCGUAACCCGUCGGCGGCAUCGUCCGGCUCUAAGCGUAGCAAGAACUUUUCACUCGCUUCGGAGCUCGCGGCGGCGCCUGCCGGGAAAGCAAAGCACCCGUAGUUUGACCUCGGAUCAGGUAGGGAUACCCGCUGA
rnacentral:misc_RNA from 1 species